CGGCUUGGUUGAGAUACUUUCUCGUUCAUUGUAGAUGCGAAACAAGUACGCGAAGUGGCAGUAGAGCUCCAGAAACAUUGUUUUGUCUACGAUUUUUACCAAGGAAGAUCAGCAACUAGAGACGUUGUGUAGGUUCCUUGUCUUUGGCGUCCCUGGAGCAUUACCAUUUGCUUGUGUCCAUACAAGACGGACUGCAUUAUUGCCGGCAGUGCACGUAUGUGACCAAGGAAAGGACAAACAUGAAAGGACACCUUCGCAAACACACGGGCGAGCGUCCCUUCAAGUGCCAAUUGUGUCCGGCUGCAUUCACUCAUAACUGCAACCUCAAACAGCACUUGCGCAUUCACACAGGAGAGCGUCCAUUUUCCUGUGUCCACUGCAAUGCAUCCUUUUCGAAGAGGGGCAACCUCAAAGACCACAUAUAUCGUCGUCAUGCAAAAUAGAAGCCCCGAAGAUGUGUCCACUCCCUCUAAUGGAGCAUCCAAGAAGUUCAAGCUUUGGAAAUUGCUAUAAACACACCACACCAGCCUCUUCAUGGAAAUCACUUUUUUAACAUGUAGCAGUUUGAUUUGACAUGAACUUCAGAUUAUGACAGGGAUGUGAAUAUGUCCUCUGACUGCUACCUCGAAUUGGUUAUAUUAGAAGGAGUGAAAAUUGGAAAUUAACGUUAGUCUAUAGAAAUGGGAAAGGAAAGCAAUGGUUUCACCAUGGUGUUUAAGUUUCAAUCAGUGUAAAGAAAUUGUGCCUGUCUUUAGAAAGCAUUGGUUCAAGCUAGGUAGGUGGUAAGGCAUACUCUCACCUUACAAGUCUGUUCGACAAUGAGCAUAUUCUGAGAAAAACGGUCUUGUAGGUAAGUUACCACAAUACUUGGUGGUGGCACUUUGCUUUUUUUUCAUGCAGCAUGUUAAAAACGAUUUUGAAACAAGUUUAUGGCAGAAAUAUUGUGUUACACAUUACGGAUUUAGAUUUAUUGUCUCGUAUGUUUCUUUUGUUGUGUUGUACUUUCAAGUCAACGGUAUGUCAAAAAUAACAUCAAUGAACAGUCAACUUUCUUUCUACUCUGCCACUUACCAAGGAACAUAAAUGGAGUCAAAUAUGUCUUCAUUCUCUUCCACCAUUAAACAUAGCACCAUUUGCACUUUGAACCACCGUUAUUGUGAUACCUUUUCAGUAUGUCAGAUUCAUUUCGUCCAUGAAUUUUUACAUUUAUAUAUAUAUAUAUAUAUAAGUUGGGGCAUUUGGUGUGCCUAGGAUUACAAAUAUUUGAUGCCUAAAUUAUAUGUAGCGCUUUGCUAAGUGGAUGUGUGCAUCGUUCACUGGAACACAUUGAAAUAGUUUUGAUCAUUGAGGCAUGCCAACUUGGCUCUCCACAAGUGUCGUCAGUGUUUAGCCAUCGUGUUCAUUUAGGAGAGGCAGUUACAUAUAGCGAUAAAGUGUAAUAUGUAUUUA